rnacentral:rRNA from 1 species
UACCAGCACCCCGAGUGGUCGGGACGUUUUAUUGGGCCUAAAGCAUCCGUAGCCGGUUCUACAAGUCUUCCGUUAAAUCCAACUGCUUAACAGAUGGGCUGCGGAGGAUACUAUAAGACUAGGAGGCAGGAGAGGCAAGCGGUACUCAGUGGGUAGGGGUAAAAUCCAUUGAUCCAUUGAAGACCACCAGUGGCGAAGGCGGCUUGCCAGAAUGCGCUCGACGGUGAGGGAUGAAAGCUGGGGGAGCAAACCGG